CUACAGGCUUAACACAUGCAAGUCGAGGGGCAGCGCAGUGUAGCAAUACACGGGCGGCGACCGGCGCACGGGUGCGUAACGCGUAUCCAACCUUCCCGAUACUCUUGGAUAGCCCUCCGAAAGGGGGAUUAAUACAGGAUGGUGUUCAAAUUCCGCAUGUUAUUUGAACUAAAGAUUUAUCGGUAUCGGAUGGGGAUGCGUUCCAUUAGCUUGUUGGCGGGGUAACGGCCCACCAAGGCGACGAUGGAUAGGGGUUCUGAGAGGAAGGUCCCCCACACUGGAACUGAGACACGGUCCAGACUCCUACGGGAGGCAGCAGUGAGGAAUAUUGGUCAAUGGUCGGAAGACUGAACCAGCCAAGUAGCGUGAAGGAUGAAGGUUCUAUGGAUUGUAAACUUCUUUUAUACGGGAAUAAAGCCCGCUACGUGUAGCGGUUUGUAUGUACCGCAUGAAUAAGCAUCGGCUAACUCCGUGCCAGCAGCCGCGGUAAUACGGAGGAUGCGAGCGUUAUCCGGAUUUAUUGGGUUUAAAGGGAGCGUAGACGGGAUGUUAAGUCAGUUGUGAAAGGCUGCGGCUCAACCGCAGCACUGCAGUUGAUACUGGCGUCCUUGAGUGCGGUUGAGGUGUAUGGAAUUCGUGGUGUAGCGGUGAAAUGCUUAGAUAUCACGAAGAACUCCGAUUGCGAAGGCAGUACACUAAGCCGCUACUGACGUUGAGGCUCGAAAGUGUGGGUAUCAAACAGGAUUAGAUACCCUGGUAGUCCACACGGUAAACGAUGAAUACUCGCUGUUGGCGAUACAAUGUCAGCGGCCAAGCGAAAGCAUUAAGUAUUCCACCUGGGGAGUACGCCGGCAACGGUGAAACUCAAAGGAAUUGACGGGGGCCCGCACAAGCGGAGGAACAUGUGGUUUAAUUCGAUGAUACGCGAGGAACCUUAACCGGGCUUAAAUUGCAGAGGACAGGCGCAGAGAUGUGCUCUUCUUCGGACCUCUGUGAAGGUGCUGCAUGGUUGUCGUCAGCUCGUGCCGUGAGGUGUUGGGUUAAGUCCCGCAACGAGCGCAACCCCUGUUUCUAGUUGCCAGCACGUUAAGGUGGGAACUCUAGAGAGACUGCCGUUGAUAAAACGGAGGAAGGUGGGGACGACGUCAAAUCAUCAUGCCCUUUAUGUCCUGGGCUACACACGUACUACAAUGGCUACAACAAAGGGAAGCGAAAGAGUGAUCUGAAGCGAAACUCAAAAAAGUAGUCUCAGUUCGGAUUGUAGGCUGAAAUUCGCCUACAUGAAGCCGGAAUUGCUAGUAAUGGCAGGUCAGCAUACUGCCGUGAAUACGUUCCCGGGCCUUG
rnacentral:rRNA from 1 species